rnacentral:rRNA from 1 species
AUUGAACGCUGGCGGCACGCCUAACACAUGCAAGUCGAGCGGCAGCACAGGUAGUAGCAAUACUACUGGGUGGCGAGCGGCGGACGGGUGAGGAACACGUAGGAACUUGCCCAGUAGAGGGGGAUAACCACGGGAAACUUUGGCUAAUACCGCAUAAACUCGGAAGAGGAAAGCUGCCCGCAAGGGUGGCGCUAUUGGAGAGGCCUGCGUCCGAUUAGCUAGUUGGUGAGGUAAAGGCUCACCAAGGCAGGGAUGGGUAACUGGUCUGAGAGGACGACCAGUCACACUGGGACUGAGACACGGCCCAGACUCCUACGGGAGGCAGCAGUGGGGAAUCUUGGACAAUGGGGGCAACCCUGAUCCAGCGAUGCCGCGUGAGUGAAGAAGGCCUUCGGGUCGUAAAGCUCUUUAGGCUGGGAGGAAGGCUAGUAUUUUAAGAGAUAACUAGAUUGACUGUACCGGCGGAAUAAGCACCGGCAAACUCUGUGCCAGCAGCCGCAGUAA